rfam:Brassica napus, WGS project CCCW01000000 data, contig: 15143
UAACCAUGGUGAGAAGAGUCUAGUGUAUACUCCUUGAAGCGCUCUCAAGCCUCAUGAAAGCUAUCAGAACCAAGCUGCUGAAAUUUUCCAAUCUUACUCCUCAGAUA